rnacentral:rRNA from 1 species
UACGUAGGGGGCUAGCGUUGUCCGGAAUCAUUGGGCGUAAAGCGCGUGUAGGCGGUCCGGUAAGUCCGCUGUGAAAGUCGGGGGCUCAACCCUCGAAUGCCGGUGGAUACUGUCGGGCUAGAGUGCGGAAGAGGCGAGUGGAAUUCCUGGUGUAGCGGUGGAAUGCGUAGAGAUCCGGAAGAACACCGGAGGCGAAGGCGGCUUGCUGGACCUGGUCUGACGCUGAGGCGCGAAAGCGUGGGGAGCGAACAGG